GACUCUGCUUCAUGUCCUCCUCGCCGUCGACUGUGCUUUGGAAGUUUGGAUGGGGUGGGGGUGGCGUCUGCAUGGUAGUGGCAAGGAGGUGGCAGGCUGUCAGUGCUGGCAUAUCAGGGCGACCUCCUGGGGCAGCCCGGUGCAGCCGUGCAGGGGCAUGGCGGGACGACGUUACGGUGGGCUAGCAACCUCUAUUGGGUAGCGGCAGUGUCAGCGGUGGGUAGCGGCGGUGUCAGACGAUAACAUCCCAGUCUUUUUAGGUGUAGAGAUUUAAAGGUGCAAAUUAGUGGCAAUUUGUAUGCAUAGGUUUCAACUCCUGGCAACUUUGUUUAGUCAAAGAGAAUCACCGUUUCAUGUCUCUCUUCAAUUUUCCUGUCUACGCUCUUACUUCUCACUCUUUUAGUACAAUUCUGACUGGGCAUUACCUGCAUGAGUGACUAGGCAGAAACUCUGAAACAUAGUGAAACUUUCAGUAGUCGCAUGGUAGGUCAUGAUAUUUUUCUGCUAAUUAGUUCCUCACUAUUCUGUACUUUUGUUCAGAUAUUGGAUCGUGGUGGGAAGAUUGAACUUUUGGUGGGUAAGACAGAGACCUUACAGUCGCAGGUAUUUAUUCAGUGUCCGUUGUCUGUAUGAUGAUAUGAUGAUGUAUUGAAAUCCUGUUAUAGAAACAACAUUCAACUUUGUCUCAGAAAUUUAUACAAAUGUGGCUCUUUAGAAAUCCUGUUAUAAAAUCAG
rnacentral:lncRNA from 1 species